AAAGACACAGACUUAUUUUAAUGCUAAAAUACAUAUUCCUAUUUAUUUUCUUUUCAAAGCACAAAUAACCUUUCAAUUUAAAAAAAGAAACAGAACCCUUCAUUCUCUUUGGGUUCAUUAAGCAGCCGCCGAAACCACCAUCAAUUUGAUGGCUGACGGUGCACAAAUGGAGAUCAAAUCUUGCUGAGGAAGGCCUCGCCUACGAAGAUCUGGUAAGAGUACUCUUUUCCCUUUUUUUAAAAAAAAAAACUUUAAAAUCUUGUACUAUUCUGUCAAAAGCAAGGCGAAAUCCGACGAAAAAUAAGAGAAAACAACCCUAGCCCGAAUCACCAUUUUCCUGAGACAUGAGGGCUUUCAUCGGUGUUGUUUCAAGCAUCCUUUUCGUUUUCUAUGCUAAAAUAAUACGAGCAAAUCGACAGAAAAAAGGGAAAAUUUUGAAGUCACCUUUAGAUAACUUUCUUGAUUUCUUUUCUACUAUUUAGUAUAUGUAUUGUAGUGUGCGUAAAAAAAAAGGGAGAAGAUACAUUGAUAUUUCUUGGCUUUUUAUAGCCACAACAAAAAAAGAAAAAAUACAAGGUUUCUGCUUGUUUUUUGCUCUUGCAGUUGUGUCCGUCUUUUGCUUGUCUUCUUUUGCAGGUACGGAGGCAACGUGGCGGGGGUAGCUGGCGCGUACGGAGGCUGCUGGUGGCGCAACUGCUGCUAGGGCUAGGGUUUGCUGAAAUUUGGUUUAGAUAUUGGGCCUAUCGGGCCAUCAGGGUCAUGGGUUAGAGAUGGGGUUGAUUAGUUUUGUUUGGGUUUAUAAAUGGGCUAUUGGGUAUGAUAUGUAAUAGACUGAUAAUUGGACCAUUCAAUUAAUUUAUAUUUGGUUUAUUUUUAUUUAUUUUUUAUUUUGGUAGACCUGGGCAAAUUGGCCUGCUUACAAGUUUAAUUCGACUGAGUUAUAACAUUUGAAAGUCCGUAAGAACUGUAUGAAAUAUCUGAAAUUUUUGAUAUAUGAAUUGUUUAUGAGAUAACGUUAUAAUAGUAAGAACUGUAUGAAAUAUCUGAAAUUUUUGAUAUAUGAAUUGUUUAUGAGACAACUUUAUAAUAGUGAUAUUCGGGCUUUGAGCCUAGCAAGCCUUGUGCUGGUGAAUUAAAUGGGGCUUAUGCCUAGCAGGCUUAUUGCCGGUGUAUAAAAUUAGAUUUUGAGUCUAGCAAGCCUUGUGUCGGUGUGAAAUACAGGCUUAGGCCUAACAGGCUUUAUGCCUGUGAAUUUUUAUAAGUUUAUGCCUAAAACAUUUUAUGCUGAUGUGGUAAUUAAAUACGUUAAACGAGCUAAAUGAUCAGGUACGAGUUAGAUUGUUGUUUACUUAAGAUAAGGUAAAUAAGUAACUUGAUAUUUGUUACUAAUUAUGUGUGAUACAAAUGGAGAUUACAUGUGAAUUUAGUAUGUGUAUUCGGUCUUGUAAAUAAAUGGUAUGAAUAUUGUAGAAUUGAUUCUUAGAUAUGUGCAUAUAUGUGAUCAUGUAUAUUCGGCCAUAUAAGUGGUAUUGUACAUGAUGUUAUAUUAUGGUUCUUGAGCUUAUAUAAAUGCGUAUGUGUAUGUUUGAUUAUAUUAAGAUAUUUUGGCUUUGAAAGUUGAAUAAUAUUAGGUCAAAUUGAUUAAGUGAGCUUUUGGCCAAGGUAGAUUUCGUGUAUAAAAAUGUGAUAUUUAACUCAUUUGUAGGUUUGAUGUUAAGCUUGAUAAUGAUAAUAAAAUUUGGACUAGCUUAAAAUAAGUUAAUUAUAUCAUUGGGAUGUUUAUUUGCUUAUGACUUACUAAGCUAUUAUAGCUUACUUUGUGUUUUCAUGUUCAUUCUGUUUUAUAGAUUUUGGAUUCAAGUUACAAGCUCGGGGAUCGUCAGCAAAGUAUAUCACACUCUGUUUUCAGUAUUUUAUAAGUUACAUUUUGGAACUAUAGCAUGUAUAGGCUGGAAUGUGUUUUGGAAUGCUGUAUUUUGGUUUAUGUAUAAAGGCCAUGCAAAAAUGGCUUAAUCUUUAUGCUUGAGUAUGUUUUGGUUAAAUAAUGGUUUGAGUCUAUUUUACAUAUUAUGCCUACCUUGGAUGAUUAGAACUUGUGUUGUGUGUGUGCAUAUUGGGAUUGGUUGAUAAAUGAAAU
rnacentral:lncRNA from 1 species